AUUGAACGCUGGCGGCAUGCCUUACACAUGCAAGUCGAACGGCAGCACGGGUGCUUGCACCUGGUGGCGAGUGGCGAACGGGUGAGUAAUACAUCGGAACAUGUCCUGUAGUGGGGGAUAGCCCGGCGAAAGCCGGAUUAAUACCGCAUACGAUCUACGGAUGAAAGCGGGGGCCCUUCGGGCCUCGCGCUUUAGGGUUGGUCGAUGGCUGAUUAGCUAGUUGGUGGGGUAAAGGCCUACCAAGGCGACGAUCAGUAGCUGGUCUGAGAGGACGACCAGCCACACUGGGACUGAGACACGGCCCAGACUCCUACGGGAGGCAGCAGUGGGGAAUUUUGGACAAUGGGCGAAAGCCUGAUCCAGCAAUGCCGCGUGUGUGAAGAAGGCCUUCGGGUUGUAAAGCACUUUUGUCCGGAAAGAAAUCCUUGGCCCUAAUACGGUCGGGGGAUGACGGUACCGGAAGAAUAAGCGCCGGCUAACUACGUG
rnacentral:rRNA from 1 species